ensembl:miRNA aca-mir-208 aca-mir-208
GUUUCCUCUAACAAGGAAGCUUUUGGCUCGGGUUAUAUUUUAGAAUGGCAGUGUAUAAGACGAGCAAAAAGCUUGUUGGUUGGAGGAGAA